UGGAGGCAGCGCCAUUUUGAACGUGCAGCGGUCGCGGGCAUUAGGUGGGUGGGAAAGGCCUGCUGGUUGCCGGAGUGGCGACCUCCUCGUCUUCUCUGGCUUUCUCCUUCACAGUACAGUCUCCGUGGGGAGGCACGGAGCCAUAGACACAUCUCUAAGGUUGCUUCCCGGCCCGAGGUGAAGCCCUCUGAUGAUGUUAAGGGGAAAUCUGAAGCAAGUUCGCAUUGAGAAAAACCCGGCCCGCCUGCGUGCUCUCGAAUCGGCGACGGGCGAGAGCGAGCCUGCGGCCGCCAUGGCCCUCUCACUGGCUGGGGAGCCGGCGCCCCCCGCUUCCGUACCCGCGGAGGAGCGCCCGGAGGAGGAGGUGGGCUUCACCAUCGACAUCAAGAGCUUCCUCAAGCCGGGCGAGAAGACGUACACGCAGCGCUGCCGCCUCUUUGUGGGCAACCUGCCCACGGACAUCACGGAGGAGGACUUCAAGCGGCUCUUCGAGCGCUACGGCGAGCCCAGCGAGGUCUUCAUCAACCGCGACCGCGGUUUCGGCUUCAUCCGCCUGGAAUCCAGAACACUGGCUGAAAUUGCAAAAGCAGAGCUGGAUGGCACCAUUUUGAAGAGCAGACCUCUCCGAAUUCGUUUUGCUACACAUGGAGCAGCCCUGACUGUCAAGAACCUUUCUCCAGUUGUUUCCAAUGAGCUUCUAGAGCAAGCAUUUUCCCAGUUUGGUCCAGUAGAGAAAGCGGUUGUGGUUGUGGAUGAUCGCGGUAGAGCUACUGGAAAAGGUUUUGUAGAAUUUGCAGCGAAACCUCCUGCACGAAAGGCUCUGGAAAGAUGUGGUGAUGGGGCAUUCUUGCUAACAACGACCCCACGUCCUGUCAUUGUGGAGCCAAUGGAGCAGUUUGAUGAUGAAGAUGGCUUGCCAGAGAAGCUAAUGCAGAAAACUCAACAAUAUCAUAAGGAAAGAGAACAGCCACCACGUUUUGCUCAGCCUGGGACAUUUGAAUUUGAGUAUGCAUCUAGAUGGAAGGCUCUUGACGAAAUGGAGAAGCAGCAGCGUGAGCAGGUCGACAGAAACAUUAGAGAAGCCAAAGAGAAGCUGGAGGCAGAAAUGGAAGCAGCCAGGCAUGAGCACCAGUUGAUGUUGAUGAGACAAGAUUUAAUGAGGCGUCAAGAAGAACUCAGACGCCUGGAAGAACUCAGAAACCAAGAGCUGCAAAAACGGAAGCAGAUACAACUGAGACAUGAAGAAGAGCAUCGUCGUCGUGAGGAAGAAAUGAUUCGACACAGAGAACAGGAGGAACUGAGGCGACAGCAAGAGGGCUUUAAGCCAAAUUAUAUGGAAAAUAGAGAACAGGAAAUGAGAAUGGGUGAUAUGGGUCCCCGUGGAGCAAUAAACAUGGGAGAUGGGUUUAGCCCAGCACCUGCUGGUAACCAAGGUCCUCCUCCAAUGAUGGGUAUGAAUAUGAACAACAGAGGAACUAUACCUGGCCCACCAAUGGGUCCUGGUCCUGCCAUGGGACCAGAAGGAGCUGCAAAUAUGGGAACUCCAAUGAUGCCAGAUAAUGGAGCAGUGUUUUGCUAAACUUGGCUGUAACAGUAAUACUUUGGUUGCUUUAACUAAUCCCAGCCAUUUAAAAAUGAAAAUGGAUUUCCUGCUUUUUAGUUUGUGCAAGUAGCACUGAAGAUAGCAGCUAGUGAAAGGUUGAGAACCGCUGAAAUAGAAAAUGCGAAUAGAAAAUAAAGAUAACUGUAAACAUUUGAUUGCUGCCAUAUAGCCACUAGGGGGAGCCUAAACUCCACAGGACCAAGGAGAAUGAAAUAACACAUGGAUGAAGCUACCUGAAAUCCUACUUCCAGCAUGAAUCAAGUUUAGAGAUGAUAUCCUGAAGUCAUUUAUUUUCAGGGAGUCUGGCCAAAGAGGAAUGCAUCCCAUUUGUGAUGACCUGCUUAGUCAUGAGAUCACCUGUGGUUGAAAUAAUAAGCUCAGCAUCCCAGGAAUCGCUCCAUGUAUCAUGCAAACCAGGAAGGCUGGUCGACCUACUUGCAGGCUAUCUGGAUCUGUUAUCCAUGUGAACAAACUGAGAUGAGCUGGCUUCCCAGGAUUCCGUGUAGCCAUAAAUGCUGAUCUCCUACACCUGGAAAUGGAGUUACCAUCUUGCAGACAUGAAGACCCAAGUCAGAUUCUAACUAUGGUGGAUGAGAGAGGCUAUUCCUGCCUAAACUGCCUACCUCUAUACUUGGUUAUAUGAAUAAUAAACACCUUACUUGUGUUAGCUACUGUCUGUGACGUUCCUGUUACGUGUUGCCAAAGUAAAUGUCUUAGAAUUCUUCUGAAAAAGAAUGGGUAAACUGUGAAGCAUCUAUACAAUGGAAUGAUCCAGCAUUAAAAAGAAAUGAGCUAUAAAGCCAGGAAAAGACAUGAAGGACAUUUAAAUGCAUAUCAGAGCAGGAAUUCCUGUACGACUAUGAAAUGGCUGCACUGUGAGUGACCAACCUUUUCAGCUGCAUGAAUGAGUGCGGUGGUCCCAUUCUUCUGUCUGCCAUUCACUUUGGCUCCCUUUCUGAUGAGAAGCCUCAGUAGAUCGUCCUGACCUCCAGCUGCAGCAAGCAUCACCAGUGUCAUCCCACUUGAAUCCUUCAUUAGUUUUGUGUAAGGAAAAAUGUCAAUGUUUAAUCAUAAAAAUUGUAUAACUAAGUUCUUUUCAUCUAGACUGUUUCAACGUGAAAUUAUUAAAGUACAUUGAUUUAAGCAUCUACUUAAUUUUUUUCACUAAAAUAUCUUAAUAAAAAAUAAAAAACUAAUAACCUUUGGAAUUUUAUAUAUAUAAAUGUUACUAUGGGAACCUUAAUCAGAGUACACUGGAUGUUCAAGGCCAAUCUAAGCCAGGACAUAGCAAUCUUACUGUAUGCAGUGAGCAGGUGUACCUUUCUGAGGCCCAAAUAUUGAUGUCACUAUUUGGCAAGAAGCCUCUUUUGUCUAAGUUGGUAUAAAAAUGUAUUACUAACCAGGUGGUACAAGGCUGUUUUUAUGUAAAGGCUGCUUUUAUGUAGAGCUGGGCUGCUGUGUGUGCAAUGGCUCCUAUGUUUGCUUAGGUUGCUUUGUGCAGCUACUGCUUAGUAAGCUACUUUGAAGAACUGCUUUGUCUAAUGGCUACUUGGUCUGCAAUAAAGACUCUCUCUUAUACG